GACGAACGCUGGCGGCGUGCUUAACACAUGCAAGUCGAACGGUGAAGCGCCUUCCUUUUUGGUGGGUGUGGAUGAGUGGCGAACGGGUGAGUAACACGUGAGUAACCUGCCCCCUUCUUCUGGAUAACCGCAUGAAAGUGUGGCUAAUACGGGAUAUUCUGGGUCUGUCGCAUGAUGGGUCUGGGAAAGAUAUUGUUUCGGUGGGGGAUGGGCUCGCGGCCUAUCAGCUUGUUGGUGGGGUGAUGGCCUACCGAGGCGGUGACGGGUAGCCGGCCUGAGAGGGUGGACGGUCCCACUGGGACUGAGACGCGGCCCAGACUCCUACGGGAGGCAGCAGUGAGGAAUAUUGCACAAUGGGCGCAAGCCUGAUGCAGCGACGCCGCGUGAGGGAUGGAGGCCUUCGGGUUGUGAACCUCUUUCGCCAGUGAAGCAGGCCUGCCUCGUUUGUGGGUGGGUUGACGGUAGCUGGAUAAGAAGCGCCGGCUAACUACGUG
rnacentral:rRNA from 1 species